CCUACGGGAGGCUGCAGUGGGGAAUAUUGCACAAUGGGGGAAACCCUGAUGCAGCGACGCCGCGUGAGUGAAGAAUUAUUUCGGUACGUAAAGCCCUAUCAGCAGGGAAGAAAAUGACGGUACCUGACUAAGAAGCACCGGCUAACUACGUGCCAGCAGCCGCGGUAAUACGGCGGGGGGAAGCGGUAACCGGAUUUACUGGGUGUAAAGGGGGCGUAGACGGCAGCGCAAGUCUGGAGUGAAAUCCCAUGGCUUAACCAUGGAACUGCUUUGGAAACUGUGCAGCUAGAGUGCAGGAGAGGUAAGCGGAAUUCCUAGUGUAGCGGUGAAAUGCGUAGAUAUUAGGAGGAACACCAGUGGCGAAGGCGGCUUACUGGACUGUAACUGACGUUGAGGCUCGAAAGCGUGGGGAGCGAACAGGAUUAGAUACCCGUGUAGUC
rnacentral:rRNA from 1 species